rnacentral:misc_RNA from 1 species
CACACAGGAAGGAAACCGAGUCACAAGGCAUGGAGGGAAUGCCCCGCGGCAUCUGCUACAGCGCGCCAUGGGAGAGGGCUACGCCUGCGAGGAGAGGCGGGGCGAGCUGCUGCUGUGUCCCGCCAUGAGGGGGAGAUGGAGCUCAGCUCCCUGUUUGCUGCACGCCGUGGACAGCAGGGGGAGGAAGAAGACCCGGCUGCUGUUGCGCGAGGGAGAACGAGUAAGGGAAAAGAAGGGGCGUCGGCAUGGGGGAUUUUUCUUGGCGUCCGUGGGAGGGAGCUGCUGCGUCGCCAUGGACAGGGAGGCAGCGCCAUGAGGAAACUCGAGCUCGAGCCAUGGGAAAGGGAAGGGAGCUCGCUGGGGC